rnacentral:lncRNA from 1 species
UAUAUCAUACAUAUCUUAUUCAGAUGCCCUUAAUAUCAAAUGUCUCUUAUAAUUAGUUUAAAUUUCAAAGCAGUACGUUUGUAAUAUCUGGUGGUGAUGAAGAGUACGUCUGAGUGUGACAUGUAUAAUAUUUUUUUCUUGUUUUUGAUAUAUUGCACGUAUCGAAGGACUAUUUCAGAUAGGUAAGAUUCAAUUUGCG